rnacentral:rRNA from 1 species
AUACGGAGGGGGCUAGCGUUGUUCGGAAUUACUGGGCGUAAAGCGCGCGUAGGCGGCUUAUCAAGUUAGGCGUGAAAGGCCUGGGCUCAACCCGGGAACUGCGCUUAAUACUGGUAGGCUUGAGUCCGGGAGAGGGUGGCGGAAUUCCCAGUGUAGAGGUGAAAUUCGUAGAUAUUGGGAAGAACACCAGUGGCGAAGGCGGCCACCUGGCCCGGUACUGACGCUGAGGUGCGAAAGCGUGGGGAGCAAACAGGAUUAGAAACCCCAGUAGUCC